UACAGAGGUGGCAAGCGUUGUUCGGAAUUACUGGGCGUAAAGGGCGCGUAGGCGGACAGUUAAGUCAGAGGUGAAAUCCCAGGGCUCAACCCUGGAAUUGCCUUUGAUACUGGCUGUCUUGAGUAUGGGAGAGGUGAGUGGAACUCCGAGUGUAGAGGUGAAAUUCGUAGAUAUUCGGAAGAACACCAGUGGCGAAGGCGACUCACUGGCCCAUUACUGACGCUGAGGCGCGAAAGCGUGGGGAGCAAACAGG
rnacentral:rRNA from 1 species